GGGCGAGUGGUUCAGUUGGUAGAACACUGGACUUUCCGUACAGAGGCCCGGAUUCGAAUUCCGGCUCGUCCA
rnacentral:tRNA from 1 species